rnacentral:rRNA from 1 species
GAUGAACGCUGGCGGCGUGCCUAAUACAUGCAAGUCGAGCGAACGGACGCGAAGCUUGCUUCUCUGAUGUUAGCGGCGGAUGGGUGAGUAACACGUAGACAACCUACCUAUCAGACUGGGACAACUUCGGGAAACCGGAGCUAAUACCGGAUAAUAUUAUGAACCGCAUGGUUCUAAAGAGAAAGACGGUCUUGCUGUCACUUAUAGAUGGAUCCGCUCUGCAUUAGCUAGUUGGUAAGGUAACGGCUUAACAAGGCAACGAUGCAUAGCCGACCUGAGAGGGUGGUCGGCCACACGGGAACGGGACCGCGGUCCAGGCGCCUGCGGGAGGCAGCAGUAGGGAAUCUUCCGCAGUGGGCGAGAGCCUUGCGGAGCGGCGCCGCGUGAGUGAUAAAGGUCUUCGGAGCGUAAUGCUCUGUUAUUAGUGAAAAACAUAUGUGUAAGUGACUGUGCACAUCUUGACGGUACCUGAUCAGAAAGCCACGGCUAACUACGUG